GAAAUGCGAUAAGUAAUGUGAAUUGCAGAAUUCAGUGAAUCAUCGAAUCUUUGAACGCACAUUUCGCCCCCUGGUAUUCCGGGGGGCAUGCCUGUUCGAGCGUCAUUUCACCACUCAAGCCUCGCUUGGUAUUGGGCGACGCGGUCCGCCGCGCGCCUCAAAUCGACCGGCUGGGUCUUCUGUCCCCUAAGCGUUGUGGAAACUAUUCGCUAAAGGGUGCCACGGGAGGUCACGCCGUAAAACAAGCCCAUUUCUAAGGUUGACCUCGGAUCAGGUAGGGAUACCCGCUGAACUUAAGC
rnacentral:misc_RNA from 1 species